rnacentral:rRNA from 1 species
UACAGAGGGGGCAAGCGUUAUUCGGAAUUACUGGGCGUAAAGGGUGUGCAGGCGGGCUGUUAAGUGGGGUAUGAAAUAUCCCGGCUCAACCGGGAGAGGUUAUGCCAGACUGGCAGUCUAGAGAGCGAGAGAGGGACGUGGAAUUCCGGGUGUAGUGGUGAAAUGCGUAGAGAUCCGGAGGAACCCCAGAGGCGAAGGCGGCGUCCUGGCUCGCAUCUGACGCUCAGACACGACAGCAUGGGGAGCGAACGGG